GUCCACGCUGUAAACGAUGACGACUAGGUGUGGGGUGGUUCAGUCCAUUCCGUGCCGCAGCUAACGCAUUAAGUCGUCCGCCUGGGGAGUACGGCCGCAAGGUUGAAACUCAAAGGAAUUGACGGGGGCCCGCACAAGCGGUGGAGCAUGUGGUUCAAUUCGAUGCAGAGCGAAGAACCUUACCUGGGCUUGACAUGUAGGAAGUAGAACCCGAAAGGGCGACGACCUGUUAAGUCAGGAGCCUACACAGGUGGUGCAUGGCUGUCGU
rnacentral:rRNA from 1 species